rnacentral:rRNA from 1 species
AUUGAACGCUGGCGGCAGGCCUAACACAUGCAAGUCGAGCGAGCGGCGGACGGGUGAGUAAUGGAUGCGGAUCUGCCCGAUGGAGGGUGAUAACUACUGGAAACGGUUGCUAAUACCGCAUACUCUCGUAUAUACCCAUAUGGGAUUAUCUAGUAGGUGGGGUAAAGGCUCACCUAGGCGACGAUCUCUAGCUGGUCUGAGAGGAUGACCAGCCACACUGGGACUGGGCCCGGGCCCAGCCUCCUACGGGAGGAAGCAGUGGGUAAUAUUGCACAUUGGGCGCAAGCCUGACGCGUACAUGCCGCGUGGUGGAAGAAGGCCUUAGGGUUGUAAAGUACUUUCAGCGGGGAGGCGUUACCCGAAGAAGAAGCAACGGCUAACUCCGUGCCAGCAGCCGCGGUAAUAC